AGUGAACGCUGGCGGUAGGCCUAACACAUGCAAGUCGAACGGCAGCACAGUAAGAGCUUGCUCUUACGGGUGGCGAGUGGCGGACGGGUGAGGAAUACAUCGGAAUCUACUUUUUCGUGGGGGAUAACGUAGGGAAACUUACGCUAAUACCGCAUACGACCUACGGGUGAAAGCAGGGGAUCUUCGGCCCUUGCGCGAUUGAAUGAGCCGAUGUCGGAUUAGCUGGUUGGCGGGGUAAAGGCCCACCAAGGCGACGAUCCGUAGCUGGUCUGAGAGGAUGAUCAGCCACACUGGAACUGAGACACGGUCCAGACUCCUACGGGAGGCAGCAGUGGGGAAUAUUGGACAAUGGGCGCAAGCCUGAUCCAGCCAUACCGCGUGGGUGAAGAAGGCCUUCGGGUUGUAAAGCCCUUUUGUUGGGAAAGAAAAGCAGCAGGUUAAUACCCCGCUGUUCUGACGGUACCCAAAGAAUAAGCACCGGCUAACUUCGUG
rnacentral:rRNA from 1 species